rnacentral:rRNA from 1 species
GAACGCGAAGAACCUUACCAGGUCUUGACAUCCCUCUGACCGCUCUAGAGAUAGAGUUUUCCUUCGGGACAGAGGUGACAGGUGGUGCAUGGUUGUCGUCAGCUCGUGUCGUGAGAUGUUGGGUUAAGUCCCGCAACGAGCGCAACCCCUAUUGUUAGUUGCCAUCAUUUAGUUGGGCACUCUAGCGAGACUGCCGGUAAUAAACCGGAGGAAGGUGGGGAUGACGUCAAAUCAUCAUGCCCCUUAUGACCUGGGCUACACACGUGCUACAAUGGCUGGUACAACGAGUCGCAAGCCGGUGACGGCAAGCUAAUCUCUUAAAGCCAGUCUCAGUUCGGAUUGUAGGCUGCAACUCGCCUACAUGAAGUCGGAAUCGCUAGUAAUCGCGGAUCAGCACGCCGCCGGUGAAUACGUUCCCGGGUCUUGUACACACC